rnacentral:precursor_RNA from 1 species
CUCUCCACAAAGUUCUCUAUGAAAAUGAGAAUCUUGAUGAUGCUGCAUCGGCAAUCAACGACUAUUCUUUCCCUCUCUCUCUCUCUCCCUCUGUAUAGAUUAUUUGGAUUCCAUCCAGAUCUUCUUCAGGUUUUUGGCAGUCUUUAUCAAGACAUUAAUAGAUCCACAAGCUUCUAUUUCAAUAAGUGAACAAGAGUCACAACAUCAAGAUCAGUAAGGUAAGAGAGAUCUACUUAAGGUAACUAAUAUAUAUGCCUUAUUUCUUAUGUUGCCAAUCCCACCUUGCAUUUCCAAAACAACACAAUAUAGUUUUGUUUUGUUAGAAACAAAAAAGGAUAUUAUAUAUGGAAGUUGAGAUAAUAUAUAUAACAGGUCUAUAUGGAACUAUUGUUGUCUAGCAAAGAAAAGGUUUUCAAGACACACUGUCAGUUCUUUGUUUUGUUGGUUCAUGUUGGCUAUUACAUUCAAAUUGAGAAUCAAUCAAGAACUUGUUGGGUGGACCUUACACACAUUGUAGGCUAGGCAUAUUCAGUCCAACCUAUUUGUGUCCCCUCUAUUACAUAUUUAGAUUUCGUCCUUAUAACUGAUAUUGAAACAAUGAAGAAUAUAUACUCUCUUUUUCUCUUUAUUCUGUUAUAAGGGAACAAUAAAUCUAUAGCAUCAUAUAUACUCAGACUGUGAACAAAACCUAUUCACAGUUAUGAGUUUCAUGUUUUGUUUAUGAGCACAACCUCCCAAACUUGUUUCCAAAACAAAUUCUAUAAAUAUUAGUAUUAUUUUUGGUUAUUAUGUCUUGUAGUACAUCUUGUUAUAUGUGUGUUUAGUAAUGUUUUCUAUGUUAUGGAGAUGUGUGUGUCUAAAUUACUUUCCAUUAGUCAUUGUAGAAAUAAAUCUUUUUUUUUUAUCAUAGCUUCCACUAUGAAUCGAAUGGUUUUGAGCAAUGCCUUGGAUGACCUAGACUUCGUCCAUAAGUGGAAGCCAAAUCAUUCUAUCAGUACCAAUAUAGCAAGUUGGCAGCUACUUUCACAUCAUGAUGAUAUCUUUGAUAUGUCCGUCAAUCACGUAUAUUUUUGGAUAUAUUUUUCAGUAUUGCCAAAUGAAAUUGUUGUUUUACGAAAAUAAGUACCUCAAUUAAUAUAAUAUGUCUUCACUCCA